GUGAGGAAUAUUGGUCAAUGGGCGGGAGCCUGAACCAGCCAAGUAGCGUGCAGGAAGACGGCCCUAUGGGUUGUAAACUGCUUUUGAAGGGGAAUAACAGAGUCUACGUGUAGAUUUUUGCAUGUACCUUUCGAAUAAGGAUCGGCUAACUCCGUGCCAGCAGCCGCGGUAAUACGGAGGAUCCGAGCGUUAUCCGGAUUUAUUGGGUUUAACGGGUGCGUAGGCUGGUUUUUAAGUCAGCUGUGAAAUACCGACGCUUACCGUCGGCACUGCAGUUGAAACUGGGAGCCUUGAGAGUGCAAGAAGCAUGCGGAAUUCAUGGUGUAGCGGUGGAAUGCAUAGAUAGCAUGAAGAACCCCGAUUGCGAAAGCAGCAUGCUGGGGCAUAUCUGACGCUGAGUCACGAAAGUGCGGGUAUCAAACAGGAUUAGAAACCCGUGUAGUCC
rnacentral:rRNA from 1 species